GUUUAACGUAACCAUCUCCAGAGUGUCCAGCGAUAUCGUACUGCCCACAAGAGAAUCAAACAGUCAGAAAUUCACACGUGCUUUUGACUAUCACCAGCAAAUCCAAAACUAGAUGGUGAGGAAGUCAAAGGAAAAGACCAGCAAGUGGUUAAUGAUGGGAACUGAAUGAACCACAUGGACGCCAUCUUGGGAUGCAGUUCUGAAGCUAGCUUUGUUCCUUUUCUAUUCAAUUAUGGGCCUAGUCUGACUUCUGUCUUGGGAGAAAAGUUUAUUCAUUUGCAGGAAUUGGGAGAAAACCUUCUUGCAUUGUUUGAACCUAGCCCCGCAUGUCUGGAAAGUGGACCAUUUAUCCAGCUAGGGACCCUUAACCAAGGACAGUCAGAUCCAAAAUGGAUGUAAGGAGUUUUCUCAUUUAUUUAUCUUAAGCAAGCCAUGUGUCUUAUCUGAGAACUUAUCCUAUACUGAUCAAUUAGUUGUUUCCAUGUUCAUUUAAUUGUGUCUGGAUACUUAGGGAGGAGUGAAAUACCUCUUUUCCAAGAAACUGUAUCUGUUCACUCUCCCCUCCCAACUUGGAAAGUUUCAUCUUUCAUCCAAUUAGAAAUCAGAUUACCUAAUGCUGUAUUUUUCUCAUUUCAUUAAUUGGCCUUAUCUGGUGAAUUGUUUUUAUAUAAAAUCUGUCUCUUUGUGAAUAUGAUUUAUUAUGUAUUUAAAUAAAGUAAGCUAAACAUU